UACGUAGGGUCCGAGCGUUGUCCGGAAUUAUUGGGCGUAAAGGGCUCGUAGGCGGUUUGUCGCGUCGGGAGUGAAAACCAGGUGCUUAACACCUGGCCUGCUUUCGAUACGGGCAGACUAGAGGCAUUCAGGGGAGAACGGAAUUCCUGGUGUAGCGGUGAAAUGCGCAGAUAUCAGGAGGAACACCGGUGGCGAAGGCGGGUCUCUGGGCCGAUACUGACGCUGAGGAGCGAAAGCGUGGGGAGCGAACAGG
rnacentral:rRNA from 1 species